ACUAAAUUAUUAUUCGUUACACAUGUCAACAUCCAAUGAGUUUAGUGUAAAGACGUCAUAAACAUGCAGAGAAAAACAUGACCUUGUGCAAUGACAUAAUACAGGUAUCUACAGAUUGUAGAUCCAUGAAUGUGUAUAUGUAUAUCACAUACUAGUAAUAUUGAGAUUGUUUUAAUGUACUGAUGCCAAAAUCAAUAUUUAUACCAAU
rnacentral:lncRNA from 1 species